AUUGAACGCUGGCGGCAGGCCUAACACAUGCAAGUCGAACGAGUGGCGGACGGGUGAGUCAUGUCUGGGAAACUGCCUGAUGGAGGGGGAUAACUACUUGAAACGGUAGCUAAUACCGCCUACCCUCGGAUGUGCCCAUAUGGGAUUGGCUAUUAGGUGGGGUAACGGCUCACCUAGGGGGCGAUCCCUAGCUGGUCUGAGAGGAUGACCAGCAACACGGGAACUGAGACACGGUCCAGACUCCUACGGGAGGCAGCAGGGGGGAAUAUUGCACAAUGGGGGAAAGCCUGAGGCAGCCAUGCCGCGUGUAUGAAGAAGGCCUUCGGGUUGUAAAGUACUUUCAGCGGGGAGGCGUUACCCGAAGAAGAAGCACCGGCUAACUCCGUGCCAGCAGCCGCGGUAAUUC
rnacentral:rRNA from 1 species